rnacentral:rRNA from 1 species
UACAGAGGUCCCAAGCGUUGUUCGGAUUCAUUGGGCGUAAAGGGUGCGUAGACGGUUAUGUAAGUCGGGUGUGAAAGCCCCGGGCUCAACCUGGGAAUGCCAUUCGAGACUGCAUAGCUAGGGUGCGGAAGAGGGAAGCGGAAUUUCCGGUGUAGCGGUGAAAUGCGUAGAUAUCGGAAGGAACACCAGUGGCGAAAGCGGCUUCCUGGUCCAGCACCGACGUCAGGCACGAAAGCGUGGGGAGCAAACAGGG